UGAAACCCAAGUAUGCUCAGACAUUUCUGC
rnacentral:piRNA from 1 species